UGUAAACUAAAUAGGAAAAGUACAGCCAACUCUUACACAAACACCACGAUUUGCCCUCGAGGACUGUCCAGUGAGUUCGGAUUUUCAGUGUUACAAUGAUCAGGCGCCGCCUGGUGGAGUACUGGGCCCACAAGCCUGGGAGGUGGAACAAACACAGAAUCUACGACGUCAUAUGGAGUAGCGGUGUGAAUUUGCUACUUGCUCUUUCUUCAGGAUGCAUAGGAUACUUAGCAUACAGCGUAUAUGCUUUAAAGACAUAUUAUGCACCUUUACACA